UGCUGUAAUCGUGAUAGCACAGAGGAAAGGUUCAAAGCAAAAGAAAUCUAUUUCAGUUCCAUUCAGUUUGAGCGAUAAAAUGAAGGUGCUUCUCUGUCUUUUCGCUAUUGUGUCCCUUUUUUUGCACAUGACACUUGGUGACGAUAUGGUUAAAGAAAUUUGCCGUCAGGGAGGCGGUUCAUCAAAGUGCAAGAGAAGCAACACUUAUACUUGGAA